GUUUCAUUUUAAAUCACCUUGAAUAGAAAAGCCUGAUCUCGUCUGUUCUCUGAAGCUAAGCCGGGUCAGGCCUAGUCAGGACUUGGAUGGGAGACCAGUGAGUUACGCAUAAACU
rnacentral:rRNA from 1 species